rnacentral:lncRNA from 1 species
UCUGUUUCCUCUGCUCGCGCGGCUCAGUCUGCAACGGCAUUUUCGGUUCUUUGACAGGAAUGAAGGCCCACCAGCGGUAAGUUCCGAAGAAGGUCUUUGCACUCUGUCCAUACAGCACGUGUGUCCCAGUUAAAGUCUCCCGCGCACUUGAGAGAUCUUACCAGACUUUUGACAGUCGGGACUCCACCGAAACCACACCCAUCAGCUUCUUCUUGAUGUACUUCAGAGCUUCUAACAGAGCUACGGUUUCCAGCUGAGCAAUGGAAGCCGCCCGAACUGUUUUGGUGAAACCGUCCACAAGGCGGCCUGAGAAGUCGCGGACGAUGCAGGAUAUCGCGCCUUCCCUCGACCCUGCACAAAUCGACCAUCGACGUUGAUCUUCAUGGUCCCUGUCGCCGGAGCUACCCAGAUCUGAGGUAUCUCGGUUUCGUCUGACUUUCUUGCUUGAGGGUGUUGAAAGCCCCAUUUUCCAUAGCUUUUCUGCUGAAAUCGGGCCAGAUCUAUUACUUUGCAGGCAUCCGGCUGACUUCCCCGAAAUAUAUAGUUAUUCCGCCCCUUCCAAAUUUGCCAGAGGAUGUUUGAAAUACCUUCCAAGGAAGGUAAGUGAGUGUCUUUCCUUAUAAAGAGCGCCAACCACGCAUCAAUUCGGGUGACUUCCUUAUAUUAGUCAGUGGAGAAUAUGGUG